GGAAAUAUAGCUUAGUAGUAGAGUGCUUGCCUAGCAUGCAUGAAGCCCUGGGUUCGAAAUUCCUCAGUACCA
rnacentral:tRNA from 1 species